UCCCAUCCCGAACACGGCAGUUAAGCUCAUCAGUGCCGAAAAUACUUGGGGGGCAGCCCCCUGGGAAAAUAGGGCGAUGCCGACA
rnacentral:rRNA from 1 species